UACGAAGGGGGCUAGCGUUGCUCGGAAUCACUGGGCGUAAAGCGCACGUAGGCGGCUUUCUAAGUCAGGGGUGAAAUCCUGGAGCUCAACUCCAGAACUGCCUUUGAUACUGGAGAGCUUAGUCCGGAAGAGGUGAGUGGAACUCCGAGUGUAGAGGUGAAAUUCGUAGAUAUUCGGAAGAACACCAGUGGCGAAGGCGCUCACUGGUCCGGUACUGACGCUGAGGCACAAGGCCAGGGAGCAAACGGGG
rnacentral:rRNA from 1 species